AAGUCGUAACAAGGUUUCCGUAGGUGAACCUGCGGAAGGAUCAUUAUUGAAUGAACUUGGCGUAGUUGAGCUGACCUCUAGGGGUAUGUGCUCACUCGUCAUCUUUAUCUUUCCACCUGUGCACACAUUGUAGGCUCUGAGUAAAAAUAUCCAAGGUAACUUGGAUGUGAAGGACUGCUGUAAGGCUUUCCUUCGUAGCUCUAGGUCUAUGUUUUUCAUAUACUCUAAAUAUGUAACAGAAUGUAUCAAUGGGCUUUAUGCCUAUAAACUAUAUACAACUUUCAGCAACGGAUCUCUUGGCUCUC
rnacentral:misc_RNA from 1 species